rnacentral:rRNA from 1 species
AACGAACGCUGGCGGCAGGCUUAACACAUGCAAGUCGAACGCCCCGCAAGGGGAGUGGCAGACGGGUGAGUAACACGUGGGGAUCUGCCCAAUGGUACGGAAUAGCUCCGGGAAACUGGAAUUAAUACCGUAUAAGCCCGCAAGGGGAAAGAUUUAUCGCCAUUGGAUGAACCCGCGGCGGAUUAGCUAGUUGGUGGGGAAAAGGCCUACCAAGGCGACGAACCGUAGCUGGUCUGAGAGGAUGAGCAGCCACACUGGGACUGAGACACGGCCCAGACUCCUACGGGAGGCAGCAGUGGGGAAUAUUGGACAAUGGGCGCAAGCCUGAUCCAGCCAUGCCGCGUGAGUGAUGAAGGCCUUAGGGUUGUAAAGCUCUUUCGCCGACGAAGAUAAUGACGGUAGUCGGAGAAGAAGCCCCGGCUAACUUCGUGCCAGCAGCCGCCGUAACAC